rnacentral:other from 1 species
UAUUGACUGCCUUGUUCGGGUAAAUGUAGUUUUUAUAAUCCUACAACUUUAUUACGGGAACUUGAUGCUCUGACUGAGGAUUGCAGACCUCCCGUUUCCGUCUGUGUGCGGACGGAUUCGGACGUUGGGAGCGAGAGACUUUCAGGCGGGUACCCACCUUGCGGAGACGCUAGGUUUUAUGUGCUAUGUGACGGCAAGGCGGUUGAUUA